rnacentral:rRNA from 1 species
UAGGGAAUCUUCGGCAAUGGGGGCAACCCUGACCGAGCAACGCCGCGUGAGUGAAGAAGGUUUUCGGAUCGUAAAGCUCUGUUGUAAGAGAAGAACGUGUGUGAGAGUGGAAAGUUCACACAGUGACGGUAACUUACCAGAAAGGGACGGCUAACUACGUGCCAGCAGCCGCGGUAAUACGUAGGUCCCGAGCGUUGUCCGGAUUUAUUGGGCGUAAAGCGAGCGCAGGCGGUUUAAUAAGUCUGAAGUUAAAGGCAGUGGCUUAACCAUUGUUCGCUUUGGAAACUGUUAAACUUGAGUGCAGAAGGGGAGAGUGGAAUUCCAUGUGUAGCGGUGAAAUGCGUAGAUAUAUGGAGGAACACCGGUGGCGAAAGCGGCUCUCUGGUCUGUAACUGACGCUGAGGCUCGAAAGCGUGGGGAGCAUACAGG